rnacentral:rRNA from 1 species
UGAAUGAUGGUGACCCAAACCCUCACCAGAGUAGCAAUUGGAGGGCAAGUCUGGUGCCAGCAGCCGCGGUAAUUCCAGCUCCAAUAGCGUAUAUUAAACUUGUUGCAGUUAAAAAGCUCGUAGUUGUAUUUUUGCGUUGACGGUUUGACCAUUUGGUUGGUUAUUUCGUUUUCGCUUUUGGGAAUUUCCCUUUUUACUUUGAGAAAAUUAGAGUGUUUCAAGCAGACUUUUGUCUUGAAUACUUCAGCAUGGAAUAAUAGAGUAGGACUUUGGUUCUAUUUUGUUGGUUAUUGAACCUUAGUAAUGGUUAAUAGGAACGGUUGGGGGCAUUCGUAUUUAACUGUCAGAGGUGAAAUUCUUAGAUUUGUUAAAGACGAACUACUGCGAAAGCAUUUGCCAAGGACGUUUCCAUUAAUCAAGAACGAAAGUUAGGGGAUCGAAGACGAUCAGAUACCGUCGUAGUCC